rnacentral:lncRNA from 1 species
GAUUAUAAUAUAUAAAAAAAUAAACAAAAGAAUCAGCUAUAAGAUUUAGUUAAUAAAAGAACCAGAAACAACAAAGAACAACCUAAGAUAUCUACUACAUGCUCUACCCUCAACUGUAGCGAUCAAUCUUCAAAUGCUUCAAGAAUAAAAAAAUAACUUAUCAUCCCAAAUGCCCUGCUAAGAGUUUAUUCCACAAGAUAACAUUUCAUCUAACCAUAUUAUCAACUCACAACAAAACUUGACAUUUAAGAACCUGCAUCAAAUCCAACUAUUGAUCACACAAAAAAAGACGAAGAAAAGAAAGAUCUGGGACAGAUUAUACGUGUUUUCACAUUCUACAACAUUCAACACUAACAAGUAGCAUAGAUUGAGACAAACAUCUACCUGUCCA